rnacentral:lncRNA from 1 species
AAAACUGGCAGUUACAGGUCUCACCCAGCUCCCGCACAGCCCAAAGGGCUGUUCUCACUCCCACCGUGGCCCUCCCUGAAACAGCACCAAGUUUGUUUCCAGACAGCGGCUGAGCAGGGCUGAGAGCUUUCCUCAGUCUACCAGCCUUCCAGCUGAUAAAGCAAGCAGGGCUUCCAGGUUUCAUGUCUCCCUGCCUGCCACAGCUUCUGUGCUUUGUCUGCACUCCCAAUUCACCCCUUCCUCUGGGUUCUGUCCAGGAAACUUCAUGCUUGGUCAAAAUUGUUACAAAGUUCAGCUGGAAGUUUCCUUCUCCCUGUGUUUUUUUCCCAAUUCCUCUGGCAGCCCUCCCCAAGGACUCCUGUGAGACAAAGUCAGAAAUGACUUCCCUGGGGACUGAGAGAGACAACAGGGCUCUUCUCGAUGCUUCUUCUACCCCUGUAUUUUGCUCAGCUCUCUGAAGUUAUCUCAGUUCCAGCUGCCUCGGCAACAUGGCCUCAUGGUUUUUGGAUUUAAUGGGAGAGCUGGUGUCAACAACUUUUUCAAUCCAGAUGCUCUGUGAUCUGUGUGCUUUGAAGGAAAGGAGAGGAAGUGCUGUGUGUUUCAACUGAAGGACUCUAUUGGGGAGUUAGCAGACUUGGAAAACUGCAAGAGGAGAAGAGUAAGAGGACUCUCAAAACAUUAAGAUUCUAUUGAAGCAAAUGUGAAUGUUUAUUAAUUGUCACAUUCUUUUGAAGCCUUGAAGCCCAGUAGCAAAAAGCAUAGGCGUUGACUGUGAUUAAAAUUUCAUGGCACCAUUUAACCGGAUAAGAGAAGGACCUAAGGUGGGAGAGCUACACUCAUGAGGUACUAGGUCACUGAUUCUCAACAGCAUCUCUGUACCAGUCACACUGGCCUUAUAGAACAAAUGAGUGACCUGAGAUAUUACAGCUUGUAAGAGGUGAAGGAGGGGAACUACUUGAGCAAAAGGCCCAGUGGAUUUGAGCCAAGUUCCAGAAGAGCAAUGAGAAUAUCAUAACCUCUCAGGAGGCUAUACAGGAAGCAUGAUGCUGGUGUCUGCUCAGCUUCUGGGGAGAACUCAGGAAACUUACAAUCAUGGCAGAAGGCAAAGAGGAAGCAAGUGCAUCUUACAUGGCUGGAGCAAGAUCGUGAGAGAGUGGGGAGGUGCUGCACACUUUUAAACAACCAAAUCUCGUUGUUUUGCCACAACACCAUCAAGGAGAAUGAUGUUAAACCAUGAGAAACCACCCCUAGACCCACCAGGCCCUACCUCCAACACUGGGGAUUACAGUUUGACAGGAGAUUUGGGUGGGGACACAGAUCCAAGCCAUAUCAUUACAUAUUUCUUUAUUUCUGUUUGUAUAAACUCUGGUUUUCUAUUUUAUUAAAUAAAUUAAAAUCCAUUACUAUUAUUGUCUAUUCUGAUACUCAAAUUGGCAAAGAUUUGACCAGGGCCAGCUCCUUUGUGCUGGCUUCUUUGUCCUCUUGACAUGUCUUUACUCUUUGAUACUUAUUUUAUGGCAUAACGGAAGAUUCAGACUCAACUCUUAGUUUUUUUGCCCCAUGCCUGGAAUCAAAUAUUUCUACUAGGAACCUUGGUUCUUUUAAAAGGAAAAUGUUUUUUAGUAUGCAAAAUCUGGUUACACUCAUGACUAUGUAUGCAACACUGCUUCCAGGCUCUCUCAAUGGAUAGGACUAGGGAAUAUAUGCAAGUUCACAAACACACACACACACACACUCACUUGCAUCUAUAUUUAUAACUCUCUCCAUAUAUACUGGAAACCAUAAGUUCACACUGAAAUUUCCAAUUCCAAUCUAACACCACAGAGUUCAUUCUAGUUUUCUCUAUUUCUAGAUUUGUAACUCCCUUCUCUGACAGUGAAAAACAGGCUCCCAUUAUUCUAAAUAUUUUUACUUAUUUGAUGAAUUUUCCUGUAUGUAACUGAUCUCAUUCCUGCCACUGCCCUCUUCCCCCAAGAAUAUCCUUCUGCUAAGGUAUAGCAAAGAUUAUGUGCUGGAAACUUAAUGCCCAAUGCAAUAGUGUUGAGAGGUGGGAUGUUUAUGAGGUGAUUAAGUCAUGAGGGCUCUUCCCUCAUGAAUGAAUUAAUGCUGAUAUAAUGAGAAUGGGUUCUUGAGAAGAAGGAUGAGUCUGGUCUCCUUCCUCUCGUUCUUUCCCUCUGUUGCCUUUCUAUCUUCUGCUAUGGGAUGACACAGCAUGAAGGCCCUCCCUAUAUGCCAGUGCCAUGCUCUUGGACUUUCCAGUCUUCAGAAUUUUAAGCCAAAUAAACUUAUACUGUUUAUAAAUUACUCAGUGUGUGGCAUUCUGUUAUAUCACCACAAAAUGAAUGAAGAUACCUCCUUAACACCACUCACAG